GUCAAAGUUGCAGAGAUCUGGUUAGUAACCAGAGAUCUGGUUACUAAGGUGCUGGAACAGCUGAGACACCAAACAGGAAACAGCAGGCAACCCAGGGCUCCUCAGCACUAGGUUGCUGCUCAAAUCCCUAGCAUUGCAGGGACAAAGGAGAGUCGCCUGGUGGGAACUGGAACCACAUGGAGAAGUAUCCCCAGGAAGCUCUGGGCCUGCGGAGGGAGGCGGUGCGGGCGACGCUGAAAUCCAGCAGCUGCGCCGCCUGAGGCGGAGCUUCCACCAUCUGUGGAAAACAAGAUCUGCUUGUUUUCCCUGAAGCCCCAUGUCUGCAGGGAUGGUGAUCCUGUUAGCGUGUUGAAGGAAGUGAUUAAGGGAGAUGUGAGAAUUCUAAUCUAUGAAAUUUGAAUUUCUGGGCUUCCACAUCAGCCACACUCACUCUGCAUCUUCUGUAACUGAUUUAUCUUCAAAGAAGAAACUCCUAAGUAUCAUUUCCUCUUCCUGUUGUUACUUGUUACUGCUACAGUCCCACCAUCAAGAACACCUCUGCUUAGAGGGAGGCAGAGAAGCUCCAAUGACCUCCCACUGGCCCUGCCCAACCCCACGGCCCUUGCCCUCCGUCUGCAAAGAGGAAAAGGCCCAGCCCAUGGCCCUCAGCCAAGGUCAGUGCUGAGAGGCAAGGCCAGCGCUUUACCAGCACCAGGUCCAGAACCAACUCGUGCUUCCCUUCCCAGGGUGAGAAACUAUUGAUAUGUGAACCCCAACAGGGGCCAAAUAUGUCUCUUCCUCAACUGAAGGAAAAGACGCUUAUUUAUUUUGGGGGGACAGGGUCUCCCUCUGUUGCCCAGGCUGGAGUGUAGCGGUGUGAUCAUAGCUCACCGUGACCUGGAACUCCUGGGUUUAAGCGAUCCUCCCACGUCACCCUCCUGAGUAUCUGGGACUACAGGCAAGAGCAACUGCACCUGGCAGACCUUUAUUUUAAAUAUGUGAGUUUCCUGUGAAAUAGCCACACUCAAUGAUACUGUGCCGGGGUGUGCCAGGCCUCCUAACUCUUGGGGUCAAGCCACAAAUUAGCAAUACUUUGAGGAUCUGUUUCCAAAAAAUUCACUUUGUUUACAACAGUAAUUCGGGCUGCUUUUGCCCCACACUUCACCAAAUUGUGUUGAUCAUAAAUGAAGUUAUAUAGUUACUGUACGAUUUGUAGGGGGAUGCAGGAGGUAGGGCUCAACAGAUUUGCUCUGUUCUCUGUGAGUGCUAUAUAGGAUCAAAGAGUGAGAUGGCAUUUCUAGUUAAUAACAGAGCCUGAACCAAGCAUAAGUGAGACUCACUCUGCCCAUUAUGGUGUGUCCCCUUCAAGCAGACACACUGUCACAGCUAAAAAGUCAUUGUAACCCCAGGUGGUUUUGCAUUUGAGGAAUUUAUGUGUGAUGCCUCAGCAUCCUCUGUCUCUUCAUUCCUGUAUCAAAUAUUCCUGUUUCCUGUACUCCUGUUUCUUUACCCAUCUGUCACUCACACCAUCUGUAUCUUAUAUUUUCAUAACAAUUUGCCAUAGUUUGGAAAGAACAGGUUUUGCAUGUCUGUGUACUUGUGGACAUCAAGUGCUUGAUUUAACAACCUUCCCUUAUGAGUGCAGUAGGAUCUGAGGGUAAAAUAGUGAUCCCUGUUCUUGGGCCUAGUGGAAGGUGAGGAAGGUUAUUCUUGUCUGUCACAUAUAUUCACAUGCCAGGCAGUGUGGCAAGAGGCAAACUUAUCACCAGCCCAAAGCAUCUGAGAAGUCAAAUGCUUGCUCUAUGUCUCCAAGGACAGAUGACUGUGCCCAAAAGGGUGUGAUUCCUCCUACAUGAUAGUGCCAAACCCUUAAACAUUCACUCCUUCAUUCAUUUAUAUAAAAUAGAAUCCAUCUGUAUCUGUUUUUGUAAUCAAGCAAUUUAUCCUAAGCAAAUGUCUAAUGUACAAACAUAUUUGCAUGUUAAUGACCUCAAGGUAGUAUAAACCAAUGAAUUGUGAUUUAUUUACUAGUACUCAAGCAUAGAAAUAUAAGUAAAUAUUCAUAGUAUAAACAAGCAUCCUUGUACAUUUUCCUUUGCACAUUUCUCUGAUUUAAAACAAUUCUUAGCCGGGCGCGGUGGCUCACACCUGUAACCCCAGCACUUUGGGAGGCCAAGGCAGGUGGAUCAUUUGAAGUCAGAAGUUGGAGACCAGCCUGACCAACGUGGUGAAACCCCAUCUCUACUAAAAAAAAAAAAUACAAAAUUAGCAGGGCGUGGUGCUACAUGCCUGUAAUCCCAGCUACAUGGGAGACUGAGGCAGGAGAAUGGCUUGAACCUGGGAGGCAGAGGUUGCAGUGAGCUGAGAUCGUGCCAUUACACUCCAGCUAGGGCAACAGGAGUAAAACUCCAUCUCAAAAAAAAAAAAAAAAAAUAUUCUUAAAAUUCAAGUGCUAGGUAAAAGCAUGUGGACAUUGAGACUUUGAUAUGUAUUAAAAACUGCACAGCAAAAGUGAACCAAUUUGCCUUUCCGGCAGUCUUAUGUGAGAGUAUACAGUCCAUGUACUUUACAGAGCUUUGUGUUAGCAUUCUUUGUAACCUUAGUAAAUUUGGUAAACGAAAAAUUAUAUUGGAUAAUUUAAAUGUUGGCUUCCUUAUAUAACAAUGUAAGGAAGUAACAAUGAUCUCAUUUUCUGUGUUAUCCAUUUUUAUAUACACUAUUGUUAUCACCUGUGGUGUCCAUUUGCCCCCUUUUCUACCGUAAAAAUUUUUGC